CGCGGGAGAGGGGUUGGAGAUGGCCGCGCGGGUAUUUAUAGAUGGCUUUCUCGCGCGUCGAAUAGAUGGAGAUUUGUUGGGAUCUCAAGAUAUUAAUCUGUUUUUUGAGCUAAUCGAAAUAUAAAUCUGUUAUUAGUAUUAUUUUUUAAACGAAUAUAAAUCUGUUAUGGUGAGCAGGUUGUUGCAUUCUUUUUAGAGGAGAGAAGGUUGUUACAUUUUUAUUUUAUUUUUUUGAGAGGUGAGCAUGUUGUUGCAUUUUUUUUAGGAAAACACAAGGCUUUAUUAAUUCAGAGACAUGGGUACAACAUUGUUCCAAGGCUUAAUCAGCCACACAUGCCUACCGUGUUGAAGUGAUAACGAACUCCGGACUA
rnacentral:lncRNA from 1 species